GUGCACCAGUCGCGAAUCUUAGCAAUGCCCGAAAGGUGACUAUGCGACGCCGCGUGAGCGAUGAAGUCCUUCGGGACGCAAAGCUCUGUCAGGUGGGAUGAAUUUUUCGACCUUAACAGGGUUGGAAUUUGACCGUACCACCAGAGGAAGCCACGGCUAACUCCGUGCCAGCAGCCGCGGUAAUACGGAGGUGGCAAGCGUUGUUCGGAUUUAUUGGGUGUAAAGGGCAUGUAGGUGUCCUAGUAAGUCCUGGCUGAAGUCCUUCGGCUCAACCGAGAACGUGUCAGGAAACUGCUGGGAUUGAGUACGGAAGAGGAGAACGGAAUUCCCGGUGUAAGGGUGAAAUCUGUAGAUAUCGGGAGGAACACCAG
rnacentral:rRNA from 1 species